GACGAACGCUGGCGGCGUGCUUAACACAUGCAAGUCGAACGGAAAGGCCCUGCUUUUGUGGGGUGCUCGAGUUGCGAACGGGUGAGUAACACGUGAGUAACCUGCCCUUGCCUUUGGGAUAACUUCAGGAAACUGGGUCUAAUACCGGAUAGGAGCUCCUGCUGCAUGGUGGGGGUUGGAAAGUUUCGGCGGUUGGGGAUGGACUCGCGGCUCAUCAGCUUGUUGGUGGGGUAGUGGCUUACCAAGGCUUUGACGGGUAGCCGGCCUGAGAGGGUGACCGGCCACAUUGGGACUGAGAUACGGCCCAGACUCCUAUGGGAGGCAGCAGUGGGGAAUAUUGCACAAUGGGCGGAAGCCUGAUGCAGCAACGCCGCGUGCGGGAUGACGGCCUUCGGGUUGUAAACCGCUUUCGCCUGUGACGAAGCGUGAGUGACGGUAAUGGGUAAAGAAGCACCGGCUAACUACGUG
rnacentral:rRNA from 1 species